rnacentral:lncRNA from 1 species
ACCGGUCCAGCCCCAACUCGACAAUUACGAAUUACGAUACUAGAAGACGGUCAGACACAGACGCACUGAGCUAUAAUAGCUUUAGUGGUGACAUUCCCACGCCCAAAUCAAAGAAUGAACCAAUCCUUUUUCACUUCUUCCCGUUGGCGCCUAAUUUCCCUCUUCCUCAACCCCAACAGCAAUCCAAGAGUCGGAAUUAUAUAGCAGAUCGCGAUGAAUUGAUUUUUGUAUUUCAUUUCCCCCCUCGGAAUCAAAAUUGAAAAGCCAAGCAAAUUACGGAGGACCACCUUCUUCCAAACCCCACACCCCCCAAAAUCAUGGCACAGCCAUCGGCGCCACCGCCGCUGGCGCCUCCUCCACCGCCUCCGUCCUCUCUCUCCCAUGGAGCCCAGCUUCUCUUCCCGAUGGAGUCCAGGUUCGCUGUGCUGGCUGCCGUAUGAUCUUAACUGUAGCUCCUGGAGUCGUCGAGUUCGUUUGUCCAACCUGUCACAUGCCUCAAAUGCUUCCGCCGGAGCUCCUCUCCAGGGCCCACCCUCAACCUCACGGUCAAAUGAGUACGCCGUCUCCUCCUCCUCAAGUACCUGCUCACGGCAUUGAUCCUUCCAAGAUCCAGCUGCCCUGUGCUAAUUGUAAGGCCCUACUCAAUGUCCCCCAUGGUUUGGCUCGUUUCGUCUGCCCUCAGUGUGGUGUUGAUCUCGCCGUAGACGUUUCCAACCUCAAGCGCUUGCUUCGUCAGCCUAGGGCACCUCUUCCCUCACAGCUGCUUCCUCCGGCUCAGUUCACUCAAUUGCGUCCUCCUCCUGCUGCCGUUCCUCCUCCUACGCUUCCUGAAGAAGUCAAC